GGAGAUUGUGUACCUUCUCAUGGUUGCGUCUCUGAUAGCAGGACCAUAGACCAGCUCAAAGCCCAGGCCUCGCUCGAUCGCCUUUCCCAGAGAUAGAGAAGACAAAGUGUAAACUGUCAAAGACAAGAAUGGCAUUUGCUACACCAAUGCUGGCAUUGCAAUUAAACAAGCACCUGUUUCCUGGCUUUUACACUUCUGAAGCUGGUCUAACUGCUUCUCCUCCUCAUAACUCGAGGCCACUGUUCACUGUAGAGUAUCUAGGAACUGGAAUGAACUUGAAGGAAACCCACAGAUAAAGAAAAACACUGUUUUGGUCA